rnacentral:rRNA from 1 species
UACGUAGGGUGCAAGCGUUAAUCGGAAUUACUGGGCGUAAAGCGUGCGCAGGCGGUUUUGUAAGUCUGUCGUGAAAUCCCCGGGCUCAACCUGGGAAUUGCGAUGGAGACUGCAAGGCUAGAAUCUGGCAGAGGGGGUAGAAUUCCACGUGUAGCAGUGAAAUGCGUAGAGAUGUGGAGGAACACCGAUGGCGAAGGCAGCCCCUGGGUCAAGAUUGACGCUCCAUGCACGAAAGCGUGGAG